GGAUCCAGACUUUGAUCAUGGCUCAGAUUGAACGCUGGCGGCAGGCCUAACACAUGCAAGUCGAACGGUAACAGGAAACAGCUUGCUGUUUCGCUGACGAGUGGCGGACGGGUGAGUAAUGUCUGGGAAACUGCCUGAUGGAGGGGGAUAACUACUGGAAACGGUAGCUAAUACCGCAUAACGUCGCAAGACCAAAGAGGGGGACCUUCGGGCCUCUUGCCAUCGGAUGUGCCCAGAUGGGAUUAGCUAGUAGGUGGGGUAACGGCUCACCUAGGCGACGAUCCCUAGCUGGUCUGAGAGGAUGACCAGCCACACUGGAACUGAGACACGGUCCAGACUCCUACGGGAGGCAGCAGUGGGGAAUAUUGCACAAUGGGCGCAAGCCUGAUGCAGCCAUGCCGCGUGUAUGAAGAAGGCCUUCGGGUUGUAAAGUACUUUCAGCGGGGAGGAAGGGAGUAAAGUUAAUACCUUUGCUCAUUGACGUUACCCGCAGAAGAAGCACCGGCUAACUCCGUGCCAGCAGCCGCGGUAAUACGGAGGGUGCAAGCGUUAAUCGGAAUUACUGGGCGCAAAGCGCACGCAGGCGGUUUGUUAGGUCAGAUGUGAAAUCCCCGGGCUCAACCUGGGAACUGCAUCUGAUACUGGCAAGCUUGAGUCUCGUAGAGGGGGGUAGAAUUCCAGGUGUAGCGGUGAAAUGCGUAGAGAUCUGGAGGAAUACCGGUGGCGAAGGCGGCCCCCUGGGACGAAGACUGACGCUCAGGUGCGAAAGCGUGGGGGAGCAAACAGGAUUAGAUACCCUGGGUAGUCCACGCCGUAAAACGAUGUCGACUUGGAGGUUGUGCCC
rnacentral:rRNA from 1 species